rnacentral:rRNA from 1 species
GAUGAACGCUGGCGGCGUGCCUAAUACAUGCAAGUCGAGCGAACAGAUAAGGAGCUUGCUCCUUGGACGUUAUCGGCGGACGGGUGAGUAACACGUGGUUAACCUACCUAUAAGACUGGGAUGACAUCGGCAAACCGGAGCUACUACCGGAUAAUAUUUCGAACCUCAUGGUUCGAGCGUGAAAGAUGGUUUUGCUAUCACUUAUAGAUGGACCCGCGCCGUAUUAGCUAGUUGGUAAGGUAACGGCUUACCAAGGCGACGAUACGUAGCCGACCUGAGCGGGUGAUCGGCCACACUGGAACUGAGACACGGUCCAGACUCCUACAGGGGGCAGCAGUAGGGAAUCUUCCGCAAUGGGCGAAAGCCUGACGGAGCAACGCCGCGUGAGGGAUGAAGGUCUUCGGAUCGUAAAACUCUGUUAUUAGGGAAGAACAUACGUGUAAGUAACUGUGCACGUCUUGACGGUACCUAAUCAGAAAGCCACGGCUAACUACGUG